UACGUAGGGUGCAAGCGUUAAUCGGAAUUACUGGGCGUAAAGCGUGCGCAGGCGGUGAUGUAAGUCAGAUGUGAAAGCCCCGGGCUCAACCUGGGAACUGCAUUUGAAACUGGCGGGCUUGAGUACGGAAGAGGCGAGUGGAAUUCCUGGUGUAGCGGUGAAAUGCGCAGAUAUCAGGAGGAACACCGGUGGCGAAGGCGGUUCUCUGGGACGGUACUGACGCUGAGACGCGAAAGCGUGGGGAGCGAACAGG
rnacentral:rRNA from 1 species